UACAGAGGGUGCGAGCGUUGUCCGGAAUUACUGGGCGUAAAGAGCUCGUAGGUGGUUUGUCGCGUUGUUCGUGAAAACUCACAGCUUAACUGUGGGCGUGCGGGCGAUACGGGCAGACUUGAGUACUGCAGGGGAGACUGGAAUUCCUGGUGUAGCGGUGGAAUGCGCAGAUAUCAGGAGGAACACCGGUGGCGAAGGCGGGUCUCUGGGCAGUAACUGACGCUGAGGAGCGAAAGCGUGGGGAGCGAACAGG
rnacentral:rRNA from 1 species